GCCAGUUUUGUGACGUCACGGAGGUCAGACAAUCCCUUCCAUUUGGCGCGGCCAGCCUAUUGGUUCCACGCGUGCGCGCGCUCCGUGGCCACGCCCUGUCGCUGGUGAAGAUCAUGUUGAGGCAUUGGGACCAGGAGCUCCCUCCAGUACGCAGAUGACUCAGUAUCCUGAGAAGGCAACUUUAUUUACAUGGGAGGAUCCUGCAGAUACGUGGCUAACAAAAUUCUGCUGUCCUUAGUGCUGUGGACUGAAAGGACCCACAUGAAGACCAAGCUGCACUUCUGCUACAUAUGUGUGGAGAGGCCUAGGUCCAGCCCCUGUAUGUUCUUUGGUUGGUGGUUCAGUCUCUGAGAAGCCCCAAGGGUCCAGUCCUCCAUCCCUCCUCCUGGCUCCGCCCUGGGCAUCCUGAGGAGGAAAGACUUUGAAGUCCUCAGGAGACUUGCAAGCGGAAGUGGGGGAGAGGGUACCACAAAUGGAGAUGAAAAUCUGUCUUCACUUUUCUGAUGUCCCCGUGCUUCAAAGCCAGAGCCAUACGCCAUGGAAAGGCAAAGUUGGAAAGGACACGAUCUCCGAUGUGACAUUCUGGGCUCAGAAAUGCCUUUGCCCGGCCUGUAUUUCUCCUUGUGUGACUUCAGUUGGAGACCAGGAACAGCUGCUUUCAAGGUCAAGUCUGGAGUGUUCCAAGGCACUGAACAUGAGACGUUCAAGAGCCUGGAGAAGAGACAAACUUUGUCUGUGCAAGGCCAGAGGCAAGUAAAGGAGCCAUGGCUAGAGUUCCUGG
ensembl:processed_transcript RIKEN cDNA 1700123M08 gene